GGAUAGCUCAGUUGGCAGAUCAUGAGACCGUUAAUCUCAGGUUCGUGGGUUCAAGCCCCAUAGUGGCCA